GUCGGUUCCCCGCUCCCCCACCGCAGCUGCCCUGCUCCCCGCCGUCGCGGCUCCCCUGCUCCCCCGCUCCCUCACCGCAGCUUCCUCCUGCUCUGCCGCCGCAGCUGCCGCUCACCUGCCUCCCCAAGCUCCCCCCUUUCCUCAUAAAAAUCUUCGAUUGUCCCAGCUACUGCCACGCUCUGCUCCGGCUGCGUAGGAACCGGCGUCAAUGAGCCCGCAGGCACUGGAUCCUGACCACCACCAACAAUCUAAAGGUCGAUGAGGCCUGGAGGCGUAGGAUUUGCGAGCGUGGAAGACGACGGCGGCGGCGAUGAGACAGCUCCACUAGGAAUACAACGGCGGUGGCUUCUUUGUUGUUUCUGUGGUGGAAGACCCACGCCUACGACACCGCGGCAGGGGGGAAAUCCCCUGCUCCCCCGCUCCCUCCCCGCAGCUGCCUCCUGCUCCGCCAACGCCACCGCGGCGGACGAUGAGAUGCCCUGCUGGCUCCCAACGGCGAUGUCAACCUCAACGGCGCGAGCUUCUGCUCGGGGGACGGCGCGGUUCAGCGACGACGAGAUCUUCCUCACCAAAUCGCCGACCAAAUCGUCGAGGAGAGCAAGUUCCUCAUCCACCGCACCGCCACCUCCUCUGCUCUCGUCCUUCCAGGUCAGGAGAGCAACAAUGCACACGCAGCGCAGAUUUGUGCGUCUUCUCCAUGCAAUCUUGUUUACUUAAUCUUCAGCCUGGGCCAUCUCUGUCACCAACGCCUACAACCUGGGAACAUGAGCUCUGGCGGCAACACAAAGAAUUCAGUAAACACUAUUUUUGCAGAAUUGUUGUUGUCAGUUAACUGAAACUACAGCACAUUCCAAUCAAUUGGCUGCAGUAAAGAACUGAAGAGAUGUUAGUUUUUCCCACAUUUUGGAAAGAACCAUGCACAAAGGAAACAAACACUUCAUCUGAUGGUGUACCUUCUUAAGCUAGCAGUACUCUGAUGGAGUACCUUCUUCAGAGGGCAAAUAGCACCAGCAGCAGCAGUCACGGCGGCAGUCAACAGCAACAACAGAGGAGCAGUAGCAUCAACACGAAUCAGCAACAGCAGCACAGGCAGAGGAGCAGUAGCAUCAACACGAAUCAGCAACAGCAGCACAGGCAGAGGAGCAGUAGCAUCAACACGGGAAGAGGAGCAGGAGCAGCACGGGAGCUCCACCGGCGGCAGGGGAGAAACAGAGGAGAAACAAGAUGCAGCAGCACGGGCUAGCACCACAGGCGGGCACGCAGGCAGAGAAGGAGCACCACGGCGGCGUGUGGGAGCUCGACGAGGACUCACGGGAGACCACGGAGGACGCGUGCGAGCUGCUGUCCACGACGGAUCGUGGAGGCCAGCUCCGACAAUGCCCGUAGUUGGAUCGCGGUGGCGCACGGGAGGCAGCUCAAGGUGGACUCGCGGGAGCACGAGGAGGACUCGCGGGAGCUCGAGUACGAUGAGAGGGAGCUCCUGCUCCACCAGAUCGUGGUGGCAAAUUCCAGCGACACCCGCAGGUAAUCGCCGCCGGAGGGGAUCGCGGCGGCGCAGGUCUGGGCGGCGGCGGCGGAGCAAGUACUUGGCGACGGCGGCGGCGUUGAAGGUACGUGGUGACGGAGGCGGAACACUUCCUGGUGGGCGGCAAUCACGCAGCUUGGCGGCGCCGGCCCCUGGAGACGCACGGGCGACGGCGGAGGAAGACGACGGGGGUGGAGGGACUUGUUUGUGAUUGUUUUGAAACUACGAGGGCUUUUUUAUAAAAUUGGCAAUGAUCUACGCCUGCGACAUGUUUUUCGGGACGGAGGGAGUAUAUAUUUUCAGGAGAAGAACAAGCAUGUAUUCUCCUUAGAGAAAAUUUACAUCUCAACAAUGCAGGAUUUUCUAUGUCACAUCAGGAUGGCUCCAAAAACAUGUGUCAUGUUGAAUUGUCUAAAGAAAGUAAUAAUAAUGAGCUAUUUGCAUGUCUUA